rnacentral:rRNA from 1 species
AAUAGAUACCCGGGUAGUCCAUGCCGUAAACGUUGGGAACUAGAUGUGGGGACCAUUCCACGGUCUCCGUGUCGCAGCUAACGCAUUAAGUUCCCCGCCUGGGGAGUACGGCCGCAAGGCUAAAACUCAAAGGGAAUUGACGGGGGCCCGCACAAGCGGCGGAGCAUGCGGAUUAAUUCGAUGCAACGCGAAGAACCUUACCAAGGCUUGACAUAUACCGGAAAGGUCUGGAAACAGUCCCCCGCAAGGUCGGUAUACAGGUGGUGCAUGGUUGUCGUCAGCUCGUGUCGUGAGAUGUUGGGUUAAGUCCCGCAACGAGCGCAACCCUCGUCUUAUGUUGCCAGCGGUUCGGCCGGGGACUCAUAAGAGACUGCCGGGGUCAACUCGGAGGAAGUGGGGAUGAGGUCAAAUCAUCAUGCCCCUUAUGUCUUGGGCUUCACGCAUGCUACAAUGGCCGGUACAAAGGGCUGCAAUACCGCGAGGUGGAGCGAAUCCCAAAAGCCGGUCUCAGUUCGGAUUGAGGUCUGCAACUGACCCCA